GAGGGUGUAACUCAGAUGGACAGAGUGCUUGCUUCCGAGGCAAGUGGUCACAGGUUCGAUCCCUGUCAUCCUCG
rnacentral:tRNA from 1 species